GCCCCGGCUAACUACGUGCCAGCAGCCGCGGUAAUACGUAGGGGGCAAGCGUUAUCCGGAAUCACUGGGCGUAAAGGGUGCGUAGGCGGUUUUCAAGUCAGAAGUGAAAGGCUAUGGCUCAACCAUAGUAAGCUUUUGUAAACUGUUAAACUUGAGUGCAGGAGAGGAAAGUGGAAUUCCUAGUGUAGAGGUGAAAUUCGUAGAUAUUAGGAGGAACACCAGUGGCGAAGGCGACUUUCUGGACUGUAACUGACGCUGAGGCACGAAAGCGUGGGGAGCGAACAGGAUUAGAUACCCUGGUAG
rnacentral:rRNA from 1 species